CAUUCAGAAUUAAAGCGAUCCCGAAAUUUACGAGGCAUACUUCCUCAACAUCCGGUUUCUCGAGGGAUAACAGCGUUAUUAUUUUGAAAUGUUCAUAUUGAUAAAAUAGUUUGCGACCUCGAUGUUGAAUUAAUGAACCUUUAAGGUGAAGAAGCUUUGAAAGGUGGACUGUUCCUCCAUUAAAUCAUUACAUGACUGGAGUUCAGACCGGCGUAAGCCUGGUUGGUUUCUAUCUAUUG
rnacentral:ncRNA from 1 species